rnacentral:lncRNA from 1 species
GGAGGCCCUGGCUUCCGCCCCAUCGAUGAUUGGAGCAGCACGAGGAACACAGCAGCGACAAACAACGUCCCGUUAAGAGCGGCUGCAGUUGAAGCGGCCAUGGUAUAUGUGGCUUUUUCUGGAUGGGUAGAACAGAAAGGAAUGAGAACUCGAAGAGAAGGUUUGCUAUAAAUGGUGGAGAUGGGCAAGCAAGCAGCACGGUUGGUGCC